GAAGGACAGGAAUAAUGAGAA
rnacentral:miRNA from 1 species